rnacentral:lncRNA from 1 species
GUCAUCUACAGCAGCAAAUGGAUAAGAGCCGGAUGUCCCAGCAUCAUGUAAUGAAGAGAAAUAAAAUAUUAUUAAUAAUUUUAGAACUAAAUUAAUGAAAACUAUAAAACUAAAGUAAUUGAUGCACCUCAAACCUAAAACUUUAUGGAAGAUUAUAUUUUGAUAUACUUUUUCGAUUCUCAAAUGAAUUAUUUUUAUACAUUUUAUUCAAUGAUAUGGAGCUAUAGACAUCUUCGACUAGUCCAUCAGAUGAUUAGAUUAAAUUUUGACCUUUUGGGUACCCC